rnacentral:rRNA from 1 species
CUAUCGUUAAGUGAAUACAUAGCUUAACGAAGCGAACCGGGGGAACUGAAACAUCUAAGUACCCCGAGGAAAAGAAAUCAACCGAGAUUCCCCCAGUAGCGGCGAGCGAACGGGGAGCAGCCCAGAGUCUGAAUCAGCGCGUGUGUUAGUGGAACGGUCUGGAAAGUCCGGCGGUACAGGGUGAUAGCCCCGUACACUAAAAUGCACACGUUGUGAACUCGAAGAGUAGGGCGGGACACGUGGUAUCCUGUCUGAAUAUGGGGGGACCAUCCUCCAAGGCUAAAUACUCCUGACUGACCGAUAGUGAACCAGUACCGUGAGGGAAAGGCGAAAAGAACCCCGGCGAGGGGAGUGAAAAAGAACCUGAAACCGUGUACGUACAAGCAGUGGGAGCCUACUUGUUAGGUGACUGCGUACCUUUUGUAUAAUGGGUCAGCGACUUAUAUUCUGUAGCAAGGUUAACCGUAUAGGGGAGCCGCAGGGAAACCGAGUCUUAACUGGGCGUUAAGUUGCAGGGUAUAGACCCGAAACCCGGUGAUCUAGCCAUGGGCAGGUUGAAGGUUGGGUAACACUAACUGGAGGACCGAACCGACUAAUGUUGAAAAAUUAGCGGAUGACUUGUGGCUGGGGGUGAAAGGCCAAUCAAACCGGGAGAUAGCUGGUUCUCCCCGAAAGCU